rnacentral:rRNA from 1 species
ACGUGUUCCUUUUUGUAUGUACCAUAUGAAUAAGCAUCGGCUAACUCCGUGCCAGCAGCCGCGGUAAUACGGAGGAUGCGAGCGUUAUCCGGAUUUAUUGGGUUUAAAGGGUGCGUAGGUGGUUAAUUAAGUCAGCGGUGAAAGUUUGUGGCUCAACCAUAAAAUUGCCGUUGAAACUGGUUGACUUGAGUAUAUUUGAGGUAGGCGGAAUGAGUGGUGUAGCGGUGAAAUGCAUAGAUAUCACUCAGAACUCCGAUUGCGAAGGCAUCUUACUAAACUAUAACUGACACUGAAGCACGAAAGCGUGGGGAUCAAACAGGAUUAGAUACCCUGGUAGUCCACGCAGUAAACGAUGAUUACUAGCUGCUUU